rnacentral:misc_RNA from 1 species
GAUGAAGAACUUAGCGAAAUGCGAUAAGUAGUGUGAAUUGCAGAAUUCAGUGAAUCAUCGAAUCUUUGAACGCACAUUGCGCCCCUUGGUAUUCCAUGGGGCAUGCCUGUUCGAGCGUCAUUUGUACCUUCAAGCUUUGCUUGGUGUUGGGUGUUUGUCCUGAGGGACUCGCCUUAAAGUAAUUGGCAGCCAGUGUUUUGGUUUUGAAGCGCAGCACAAGUCGCGAUUCAAAGCUAUACGCCAGCUUCCACAAGCCUUUUUCACUUUUGACCUCGGAUCAGGUAGGGAUACCCGCUGAACUUAAGCAUAUCAAUAAGCGGAGGA